rnacentral:rRNA from 1 species
CCUACGGGUGGCAGCAGUGGGGGAUAUUGCACAAUGGGGGAAACCCUGAUGCAGUGACGCCGCGUGAGUGAAGAAGUAUUUCGGUAUGUAAAGCUCUAUCAGCAGGGAAGAAAAUGACAGUACCUGACCACGAAGCCCCGGCUAACUACGUGCCAGCUGCCGCGGUAAUACGUAGGGGGCAAGCGUUAUCCGGAUUUACUGGGUGUAAAGGGUGCGUAGACGGUUAUGUGAGUCUGGAGUGAAAGCCCGGGGCCCAACCCCGGGACCGAUUAGGAAACUGUAUAUCUGGAGUACGGGAGGGGCAAGCGGAAUUCCUGGUGUAGCGGUGAAAUGCGUAGAUAUAAGGAGGAACACCGGCGGCGAAGGCGGCCUGCUGGGCUGAAACUGACGUUGAGGCUCGAAAGCGUGGGGAGCAAACAGGAUUAGAUACCCGUGUAGUC